UUGAACGUGUUAAAGGUAUAUGAAAUAGCAUGACAUACAUGCAUUUCCACAAUAUUGUAUAAUUCAUGACGUGUUGGUAAACAUUUGCUUUUCAUCGCAAAUAAAUGGAUUUCACACGGUUGAAUAGAAUUCACGUUCGAACGCAUUCUUUUUCGGCACAAUCAACGAAUCCGAAUCGACUGGAGCAAAUUUACACGGCGGCGUGGUACAUCGACUGUAUUUAAGCUGUGCGUAUUAUGGUGGUGCAUGCGUUUUAUAUUAUUUUUUUCGCGUGUUAAACCUGCCGUUCGAUAAUUCGACGAAAACCGAAUAUCGAACACAGCUGUUACGCAAAAGUUCAUAUAUUAUUAUAAUAAUAUUAUAUAAUAUUAUGGAGAAGCCGUGAUGUUUGGUGAUUUUUUUUCCCCCCAAACACGUCUGUAUAUAAAAUGGAUAAGAUUAGGAAAACCACGAAAUCUUCGUACAUAAUAUUAUAGUGUAUUGCUCGGCAGCCGAUUAUGAUAGAUUAUUAUCGCAUAGACGCCUAACCGUAAUCCGUAUCCAUAAGAACGAUGACAAUAUUAUUAUUAUAUUAAAUCAGAAUUUUAAAAUAAAAAAAAUAUACAUAAUAUGUGGCUAGGUACCACAUGCUGACCCGCACAGCAUUUGCAUCGAGUAAAUACUUAAAAUGUAAAUUGAUGCGGAAAUUAAAAGAGAACAAAGAACUACCGUUUUGAUAAAGAAUAUAUUAGUAUAAUUUUAAAAAUAAUUUUAAUUUUUAUAAUUAACUAAUAUAACUGAAUUUUAUUUUAUUUAAUAUUUUAUUUCUGCACACAACAAUAUAUUAUCAUUCAAUUCAUUGUAAAUAUAAGCUGAAAUGCAUUCUAUGAAAUAUGACGGAUGUUAAUUUAUUGUAAGAUUUUCAAACAAAAUCCAUAUGCCUUAAAUUCUUGAAAUCAUUAUUGAUUUCAAACAAUAAAAUCAAUUGAAGAGAUUUUAAAAUCGAAAGAAUGUGUUUGUCUUAAAAUAAUAAAACAAAAAAUAUACCCGUAUAUUACUUCGAUGAACAAACACAAAUAAAUUAAGUGGACUAAAUAUUUUUUUGGUGGAUAGAUAUUAUUAUAACAUUUCGAAAGCCAAAAAAUAACUUCAUAAAAAUACCAAAUACUGAAAUACCUCAUCAGUUUAUAGAACUUCACUCAAAAAAAAAAAAAAAAACAGAGUUUCUAUUAAACAUAAUUUCACU